rnacentral:rRNA from 1 species
AGCACCUACGGGUGUGAAGUCAUUGAUGCCAUGCUUCCAGGAAAAGCCUCUAAGCUUCAGAUUGUAAGGAAUCGUACCCCAAACCGACACAGGUGGUCGGGUAGAGAAUACCAAGGCGCUUGAGAGAACUCGGGUGAAGGAACUAGGCAAAAUGGUACCGUAACUUCGGGAGAAGGUACGCUCUUGAUGGUGAAGUCCCUCGCGGAUGGAGCUGACGAGAGUCGCAGAUACCAGGUGGCUGCAACUGUUUAUUAAAAACACAGCACUGUGCAAAAUCGUAAGAUGACGUAUACGGUGUGACGCCUGCCCGGUGCCGGAAGGUUAAUUGAUGGGGUUAGACUUCGGUCGAAGCUCUUGAUCGAAGCCCCGGUAAACGGCGGCCGUAACUAUAACGGUCCUAAGGUAGCGAAAUUCCUUGUCGGGUAAGUUCCGACCUGCACGAAUGGCGUAAUGAUGGCCACGCUGUCUCCACCCGAGACUCAGUGAAAUUGAAAUCGCUGUGAAGAUGCAGUGUACCCGCGGCUAGACGGAAAGACCCCGUGAACCUUUACUACAGCUUGGCACUGAACAUUGACCCUACAUGUGUAGGAUAGGUGGGAGGCUUUGAAGCACGUACGCCAGUAUGUGUGGAGCCGUCCUUGAAAUACCACCCUUGUAGUGUUGAUGUUCUAACGUCGACCCCUUAUCGGGGUUGCGGACAGUGCCUGGUGGGUAGUUUGACUGGGGCGGUCUCCUCCCAAAGAGUAACGGAGGAGCACGAAGGUGGGCUAAUCACGGUUGGACAUCGUGAGGUUAGUGCAAUGGCAUAAGCCCGCUUGACUGCGAGAAUGACAAUUCGAGCAGGUGCGAAAGCAGGUCAUAGUGAUCCGGUGGUUCUGAAUGGAAGGGCCAUCGCUCAACGGAUAAAAGGUACUCCGGGGAUAACAGGCUGAUACCGCCCAAGAGUUCAUAUCGACGGCGGUGUUUGGCACCUCGAUGUCGGCUCAUCACAUCCUGGGGCUGAAGUCGGUCCCAAGGGUAUGGCUGUUCGCCAUUUAAAGUGGUACGCGAGCUGGGUUUAGAACGUCGUGAGACAGUUCGGUCCCUAUCUGCCGUGGGCGUUGGAAGAUUGAAGGGGGCUGCUCCUAGUACGAGAGGACCGGAGUGGACGAACCUCUGGUGUUCGGGUUGUGUCGCCAGACGCAUUGCCCGGUAGCUAAGUUCGGAAUCGAUAACCGCUGAAAGCAUCUAAGCGGGAAGCGAGCCCUGAGAUGAGUCUUCCCUGAUACUUUAAGUAUCCUAAAGGGUUGUCGGAGACUACGACGUUGAUAGGUCAGGUGUGUAAGUGCUGUGAGGCAUUGAGCUAACUGAUACUAAUUGCCCGUGAGGCUUAACCAUACAACAC